rnacentral:lncRNA from 1 species
GCUCCCCACCAAGCAAGGAGCCCGAUGCGGGACUCGAUCCCAAGACCGCGGAAUCAUGACCUGAGCUGAAGACAGCCGCUUAACCAACUGAGUCACCCAGGUGUCCCCUGAUAGGAUAUUUUAAAUGUUUUUACAUUUAACAAGAAAAUAUUUAAAUAUCUAUUAUGAAUCCACCUAUAUGCAACUAUAUUCACAAAAGAAGUACAAGAUUGUUCUUACCACUGAAGAAACAUUUAAUGUAGGUGAGUGUAUGUACAAACAUAA